AGCAGCCGCGGUAAUUCCAGCUCCAAUAGCGUAUAUUAAAGUUGUUGCAGUUAAAAAGCUCGUAGUUGAAUUUCGGGGUUAGUAGGUUGGUCAUGCCUCUGGUAUGUACUGGUCUCACUGAUUCCUCCUUCCUGAUGAGCCGUAAUGCCAUUAAUUUGGUGUUGCGGGGAAUUUGGACUGUUACUUUGAAAAAUUAGAGUGUUUAAAGCAAGCUAACGCUUGAAUACAUUAGCAUGGAAUAAUGAAAUAGGACGUUCGAUCCUAUUUUGUUGGUUUCUAGGAUUGACGUAAUGAUUAAUAGGGAUAGUUGGGGGCAUUAGUAUUCAAUUGUCAGAGGUGAAAUUCUUGGAUUUAUUGAAGACUAACUACUGCGAAAGCAUUUGCCAAGGAUGUUUUCAUUAAUCAAGAACGAAAGUUAGGGGAUCGAAGACGAUCGGAUACCGUCGUAGUCUUAACCAUAAACUAUGCCGACUAGGGAUCGGAUGAUGUUAAUUUUAAUGACUCAUUCGGCGCCUUACGG
rnacentral:misc_RNA from 1 species